rnacentral:rRNA from 1 species
UACGUAGGGUGCGAGCGUUGUCCGGAAUUAUUGGGCGUAAAGAGCUUGUAGGCGGUUUGUCGCGUCUGCCGUGAAAAUCCGGGGCUCAACCCCGGACUUGCGGUGGGUACGGGCAGACUAGGGUGUGGUAGGGGAGGACUGGAAUUCCUGGUGUAGCGGUGAAAUGCGCAGAUAUCAGGAGGAACACCGAUGGCGAAGGCAGGUCUCUGGGCCACUACUGACGCUGAGAAGCGAAAGCGUGGGGAGCGAACAGG